AGAAGUAGGAGGGAAACUGCUGAGUCUCAUCUGAGCGUGAAAGUAACAUACGCCACAGUCUGAGGGUGCAGUAGCAGCUCUGCAUUAAAUCAAUCUAUCACCAUACAUGUGGACAUCUGGAAACAAAUACUAGACGACAGAGGAUUAUAAUGAUCACACUUUUGUUGACAUGAUGGACUUUCAUCUAAAAUACAGAUCAGGAAUGUGGCUGCAAACCCUUACAUGACCGGGACAACAGUGAAAGGCCUUCUCUUCAUUGGCGCCAUUCAUCAUGGAUGGAUUAUAACAGUGGAUGUUACACAACACGCCAUGUAGAAGUGAAGACGUGGUGACUUCUGAGAUGAUGGAGGAGAAGAACGGAGAUGAUCAUGCGAUGGAGGAGGAUGAGGAGGAUGUGCAAAACAAUCCAAAAUGGUCCAAUGGUAACGGCUACUUCUAUAUUCUUAUUUAUUUGGUCACAAAAAUGCAAACAAAAAAUCAGGAUGGGAAAGGAUCUUCUGAGAUGCAAAUAAAUUAACUCCUUAAUUUAAGUUAUUCCCUCUUCAGCUUUGAGAUUGGAGCAUUGGUUAAAAAAGGAAGAUGUUUCCAGGAAGUGAAAUGUCUCCAACAAAGACUCAGAGAAUACUUGCACACAUCCUAUCAAGUACUUUGAGUACAUUUGGUUUUAUUUUAUAGACAUUCCUCCCAAUAGAGCUUACAACAAAUCUCUGUAAUAUAAAAAUCAGGAUUAAAUGUGUAUUUCAAGAUGUUGCUUGUCUGCGCAGCUCGACUUUGUACAGUCUGGCUGACCUCAGGUCAGAGUGAUAUGUGAAGUUAUUUAUAUUUGACCAGUCUGCUUUUGUGUUGACUUUACUUCCUUUUUCAUUGUCACAGUUUUACAUGUCAACAAACGUUCAACAGUUUUUUGCUCUUUUUUUUCCUCGAUUUCUGUAGUUCUUUUUGAAAAUCACAGAAACUAUUUUAAAAGAUGUAGAAGUGGUUACAGCUUUUUCUC